UACGGGAGGCAGCAGUGGGGAAUAUUGCACAAUGGGCGAAAGCCUGAUGCAGCUAUGCCGCGUGUAUGAAGAAGGCCUUAGGGUUGUAAAGUACUUUCAUCGGGGAGGAAAAACAAACUAAUAAUUUUAUUUCUUGACGUUACCCGAAAAAGAAGCACCGGCUAACUCCGUGCCAGCAGCCGCGGUAAUACGGAGGGUGCUAGCGUUAAUCAGAAUUACUGGGCGUAAAGAGCACGUAGGUGGUUUUUUUAAGUCAGAUGUGAAAUCCCUGGGCUUAACCUAGGAACUGCAUUUUGAAACUGAAAUACUAGAGUAUCGUAGAGGGAGGUAGAAUUCUAGGUGUAGCGGUGAAAUGCGUAGAUAUCUGGAGGAAUACCUGUGGCGAAAGCGGCCUCCUAAACGAAUACUGACACUGAGGUGCGAAAGCGUGGGGAGCGAAACAGGGAUUAGAUACC
rnacentral:rRNA from 1 species